GUGGGGAAUAUUGGGCAAUGGGCGAAAGCCUGACCCAGCAACGCCGCGUGAAGGAAGAAGGUCUUCGGAUUGUAAACUUCUUUUAUCAGGGACGAAGUAAGUGACGGUACCUGAUGAAUAAGCCACGGCUAACUACGUGCCAGCAGCCGCGGUAAUACGUAGGUGGCAAGCGUUAUCCGGAUUUACUGGGUGUAAAGGGCGCGUAGGCGGGGAUACAAGUCAGAUGUGAAAUCUAUGGGCUUAACCCAUAAACUGCAUUUGAAACUGUAUCUCUUGAGUGUCGGAGAGGUAGACGGAAUUCCUAGUGUAGCGGUGAAAUGCGUAGAUAUUAGGAGGAACACCAGUGGCGAAGGCGGUCUACUGGACGAUAACUGACGCUGAGGCGCGAAAGCGUGGGGAGCAAACAGGAUUAGAAACCCUAGUAGUCC
rnacentral:rRNA from 1 species